AGACCACGCGGGACUCCCUGGCUGCGCCACGCCCGCGCCCCGUGCUCGUCCUGCACGCGAUGUCCAGCUUGUCGCAGCCUGCCCAGAUGGCUGUCUGCCCACCUCAGCGGAAAAAGGCGUUGUGGCAUCAGUUCCUGCAGCGGCACUACUGGAAGGUUCUGCAUGUGAACGUGAGGGACACUGAGGACCAGUCCUGGGUAGCCGAGGAGGUCCAGCACUCGCAAUUCCCUGGUGGCAGAAGGAAAUCCAGCAGGCAUCCUAAGAAAAGAGAAGUUGCAAGUGCCCUUCUGCAAAGUGACCCGCCCCUGGUGGUGCCAGCCUCUCUCUGGUUAACCUGAGCCCGGGGGAGUGAAGAAGCCAAUCAGAAGACAGAGAGCUUGCUCGGAGGUGAUCCCUUAACCAAAAUCGGGAGGACAUGGGCCUUGGCAGGGACCUGGGUACAGCUCCUGCCAAAAGCACCGUGGGCAUCAGCCCCAGGCUCUGGAACAUCAUGGCUCAUCACGUUUAACCUCCUGUUUCCAUCUGGGUGAUGAAAAGCUAAGGGGAGUUAACGCGCCGCUGCAGCUCAUUGUCAAAGCCAGCUUCAGGCAGAGAACGAAGGAGGGAGCGACUUCGGGGCUGGGUUAAUGUUUUCCCGCAGGCAAGUGGUAGCAGAUGUCAAGGGUUAAGGACAAUUUAGGAGGUAAGAAUUUCCAGGCUGCACUUGUGUCGGGUGCCUCGGGCGAUGAGCCCAGGAGCCCGCUCUCCACGCAGUGACGCUUCCCAAGCUGGUGCUUUAGAGCCCUCACUUGCCUGGCUGCUCUGAGGCCCCGUCCCUGAUGGCUUCUGACAAUUUGGUGUCCUUUGUAAAGACGACCUCAGAUCCUAUCAGCUUCAGUUUCACAAAACCUGGAUCCCCUGCCUCUGUGGUAUGUCUGGACUGCCCUGGGCAGGCAGGGCCUGGCUCUGAGAUGAAGAUUUCUCAGCACUGAAGGACCGCCUGCCUUUGAGCUGUGAAACUAGUCUAUCCUCACAUAGACACCAGUAAACUGAGGCUUGAGAGGCUCAAGGACACCCCGGAGGCCACGAAGGGUAGAACUCACUCCCCUGCUUCCAUCCCUGUCUUGCAUUCACUGCUGUGGCUCGGAGAAGCAGAGGGGUCUUGCUUUGGAGUUGUGUGUGUGUGUGCAUAUGUACGUGUAAGGUGUGUACAUGUGUUGCACACGUGUUCAUUGCAUCUGUGCAUAUGUGCACAUGUAUAUGUGUGCAUGUGUGUGUAUAUGUGCAUGCGUGGACAUGUGUAUGUGUUUGCAUGUGUAUGUGUGCACACAUGCCUGUGUAUGCACAUGUGUGUAUAUGUGUGCAUUUGUGCAUAUGUGCAUGUGUGUUCAUGUGUGCAUGUGUAUGUGCGUGUGGUGGUGAUGAUGGUUGAACAGUCCUGCAGCCCUGGUCCCAUAUGGCCUAUUCCCAGCUUGGACUGGCUUCCUGGGGUGGACAUGGACAGGAAAAGAUGCCAGACUCAUAGAGAACCCCUUCUUCCUCCACACCAGAUUGGGCAGGGGGUGGGGAGGCUUUCACCUUAGCAAUAGGCAAUGGUUGAAAUAUCAUUUCCAGGGUGACAUGACAUGAUGUUUGGGAUUUACUUCGAAAGAACAGGGGUGGAGCGGGAGAUACAGAUGAAACAAGACUGGCUCAGUUGAUAAUUGUUGAAGCUGGCUGUUGGGUACCAGGGGUUCCACUAAACUAUUUUCUCUACUUCUGUGUAUGUUUGAAAUGUCCUGGAACAACAAUAAAACACUUAUGUCAUCUC
ensembl:lncRNA novel transcript, antisense to BLK